rnacentral:lncRNA from 1 species
UUGAAUUUGGUGGAUUCCAAGGCUAAUUGACAAUAUGAGCAAAUGACUUGUAAGUUGAGAGUGAGAGGUAAUCGCUGCUCUGUGAAGCCAGCCUCACGCAUUACCCUCAAGUUUAGGGAGAAUAUGAUUCAAGCGUUAGGCUGAAACAUAGCAUCCACUGCCCAACUUGGAAACAGGCAAAUCAAAGCUAGCUCAUAAUGUCAACCUUGAAUUUGCAACUUCAAUUUAGAACAAAUUAAUCUACUAUUGAAAAAUAAACAAAGAAUUUGGAUUUUAUUUAUUAAAUAAAAAAUAUUUGUUGAAUUUGGUGGAUUCCAAGGCUAAUUGGCAAUAUAAGCAAAUGACUUGUAAUCCUUCCACCGUUGAGAGUGUGAGGUAAUCGCUGCUCUGUGAAACCAGCCUCACGCAUUACCCUCAAGUUUAGGGAGAAUAUGAUUCAAGCGUUAGCCUGAAACAUAGCAUCCACUGCCCAACUUGGAAACGGGCAAAUCAAAGCUAACUCAUAAUGCCAACCUUGAGGUCAAUACCAAAUUAUUCAAAUACCUUAAUGCUCCACUUGGUGACAAGCCCACGUUACCG